GGAUUAGAUACCCUGGUAGUCCACGCCGUAAACGAUGAGAGCUAGUUGUCUGGCAGCAUGCUGUCAGGUGACGCAGCUAACGCAUUAAGCUCUCCGCCUGGGGAGUACGGCCGCAAGGUUAAAACUCAAAGAAAUUGACGGGGGCCCGCACAAGCGGUGGAGCAUGUGGUUUAAUUCGAAGCAACGCGAAGAACCUUACCUGCGCUUGACAUCCUGAUCGCGGAUUAGAGAGAUCUUUUCCUUCAGUUCGGCUGGAUCAGUGACAGGUGCUGCAUGGCUGUCGUCAGCUCGUGCCG
rnacentral:rRNA from 1 species